UUUCAACCCCGGGGUUGAAAUUUCAACCCUGCUUCAUCUAGCAGGGUUGAAAUUUCAACCCCAGGGUUGAAC
rnacentral:miRNA from 1 species